rnacentral:rRNA from 1 species
GAUGAACGCUGGCGGCGUGCCUAAUACAUGCAAGUCGAGCGAACAGACGAGGAGCUUGCUCCUCUGACGUUAGCGGCGGACGGGUGAGUAACACGUGGAUAACCUACCUAUAAGACUGGGAUAACUUCGGGAAACCGGAGCUAAUACCGGAUAAUAUAUUGAACCGCAUGGUUCAAUAGUGAAAGACGGUUUUGCUGUCACUUAUAGAUGGAUCCGCGCCGCAUUAGCUAGUUGGUAAGGUAACGGCUUACCAAGGCUACGAUGCGUAGCCGACCUGAGAGGGUGAUCGGCCACACUGGAACGGAGACACGGUCCAGACUCCUACGGGAGGCAGCAGUAGGGAAUCUUCCGCAAUGGGCGAAAGCAUGACGGAGCAACGCCGCGUGAGUGAUGAAGGUCUUCGGAUCGUAAAACUCUGUUAUUAGGGAAGAACAAAUGUGUAAGUAACUAUGCACGUCUUGACGGUACCUAAUCAGAAAGCCACGGCUAACUACGUG